rnacentral:rRNA from 1 species
UCGCCAGACUCCUACGGGAGGCAGCAGUGGGGGAUAUUGCACAAUGGGGGGAACCCUGAUGCAGCGACGCCGCGUGGGUGAAGGAGCGUUUCGGCGCGUAAAGCCCUAUCGGCAGGGAAGAAGGAGGACGGUACCUGACUAAGAAGCCCCGGCUAACUACGUGCCAGCAGCCGCGGUAAUACGUAGGGGGCAAGCGUUAUCCGGAUUUACUGGGUGUAAAGGGGGCGCAGACGGCGAUGCAAGCCAGGAGUGAAAGCCCGGGGCCCAACCCCGGGACUGCUCUUGGAACUGCGUGGCUGGAGUGCAGGAGGGGCAGGCGGAAUUCCUGGUGUAGCGGUGAAAUGCGCAGAUAUCAGGAAGAACACCGGUGGCGUAGGCGGCUUACUGGACGGCAACUGACGCUGAGGCUCGAAAGCGUGGGGAGCAAACAGGAUUAGAUACCCUAGUA